GGGAAGAUAAUGACGGUACCAGGAGAAUAAGCUCCGGCUAACUCCGUGCCAGCAGCCGCGGUAAUACGGAGGGAGCUAGCGUUGUUCGGAAUUACUGGGCGUAAAGCGUACGUAGGCGGCUUUGUAAGUCAGAGGUGAAAGCCCACGACUCAAUCGUGGAACUGCCUUUGAGACUGCUUCGCUUGAAGAUGGGAGAGGUUAGUGGAAUUCCGAGUGUAGAGGUGAAAUUCGUAGAUAUUCGGAAGAACACCAGUGGCGAAGGCGGCUAACUGGACCAUUCUUGACGCUGAGGUACGAAAGCGUGGGGAGCAAACAGGAUUAGGUACCCUGGUAGUCCACGCCGUAAACGAUGAUAACUAGCUGUCGGGGCUCUUGGAGCUUCGGUGGCGCAGCUAACGCAUUAAGUUAUCCGCCUGGGGAGUACGGCCGCAAGGUUAAAACUCAAAGGAAUUGACGGGGGCCUGCACAAGCGGUGGAGCAUGUGGUUUAAUUCGAAGCAACGCGCAGAACCUUACCAGCUCUUGACA
rnacentral:rRNA from 1 species